CAAUAGCGUAUAUUAAAGUUGUUGCGGUUAAAAAGCUCGUAGUUGGAUUCCUGUAUGGAAGGGGCGUCCCCACCCUUCGGUAUGGGGGUUGGCUACCUUCUUUGCAUCUUCCCGGAGUAGAUGUUCCUUACUUAACUGUGAGGACAUCGUGCUCGGGUCAAUUUACUUUGAGGAAAGAGAGUGCUCCAAGCAGGCAAACGCCUGAAUACGUUAGCAUGGAAUAAUAGCAUCGGAUCUAUCGUUCAGCUGUUGGUGUCUGGACGAGGAUAAAGGUGGACAGGGAUUGUUGGGGGCAUUCGUAUUUAACUGUCAGAGGUGAAAUUCUUGGAUUUGUUGAGACGAGCUACUGCGAAAGCAUUUGCC
rnacentral:rRNA from 1 species